AUCCCAUUUCAACAUUUUAGUUGUUCUAAUGUUUUAUUGCAAUUCAACUGAACAAGCUCGUGGUCAUGUUGUUCGUAUAAAUUAAAAAAUUAAGUUAAACACUUCUCAACUAAACAAAAAUUCUCAAAUUGAAAUGUUGUGUUCAGUUGAUUUAACAAUUUAAGUUCAAUCAUCUUUUGGCCCUUCCAACAUGUAACCACCAGAUGGCGGUAAGAGUGCAAGUGUUCGCUUUUUUUUCAGAAGAAGUAGAAGAAGAAGCUACAGUUGGGGUUGCAGAGAGCAGAUGGAGUUUCAACUUCGCGGCUUUUUCAAAUUUACGUUGAUGGGUCGUUAUUUAGCUGAAGAGGUGGCACUUUUUUGACAAAAUAAAGGAUAUUUUGGACGAAGAAAAGACAAGCCACCACAUCUUGAUUCACCUGCAGCGUGUCGCGGAGGAGAAAUACAUCCAUUCACAUGGGUUGACGUAGAAUUUGCUGGUCUGACAUCUGUUAAUCUCAAGACUGCUUUCUUCAAUGGGCUGGAUCAGUAUCCACCAGGGCUACUAGACCUGUACGAGGCCACGGCUGGGACGCUAGCUGGACCGAGCAAGCUGUUCUGAACAACCCUCAACUCAAAGAAAGAUGGAAAUUGUUCUGCUGGGCCUUCCCCACUUAAGGAGGACCCCUCAUGGCAUUCCAAAACUGCUGAGGUAAGCUUAAUUUGACCACAUUGUUAACAAUGCAGUUGUAAUGAUAUGUUAAAGUUGGUUGUAAGAUUAUUAAACUGGAAAAAUUCACACAUCAACACAGUCCAGUAAGUAAUUGGUUAAAUCUGGGUAAUUUAAAUGAUCACAUCCAUAAAUUUUAAAAAAAACAAAUUUUAGACCACACAAACAGAGGCAGCAACUCACCACUGCUCUUCCAGCAAAGCAGAAAUUUGCUGUGCGACUGCAAAAGAAGA